UCUCGUACUUGGUAUCCAGUCGAUCUCAGUCGACGCCGGCAAUGUCCCCGGCUUGGAAGGGAACUGCGUCUAUUAUGGCAACGGCUUGUGCCGGCAGACGGGGAUCUGCGUGUACCGCAUCAACGACGGCAGUGAGGAGGUACUGGCCGCGCACCCCACGGACAAGGAGCGGCGUCGUGGGCAGGGCCGUGUGUUCCCCUUGCCCCUGGCCCAAAUUCUCGUGAUCUCCGCGUGGCCUUUCCGUGAUAGUGAUUUUGAAGGUUGGUGAAUUUCUUUGAACUAUGCUGAUAUUUUUAAGCUUUGAUUGAUUUUGAACGAGGUUUCUCAUUUCCUUAGGAAUCUUGAUGAAUUAUGCUGAUAUUUGAUUGAUUUUACCUUUGUUUGUAGUUUUGUACUAUAAUACUCCUGCGGAAUAGUACCAAAAUAAACACAACAAUUCUGCAACAAACUACAAUGGUCGGCCAGAGCAAGAAGAAGAGGCUGUGUGCGGGCGCGUAGCGGCUGAAUCGUGCGGUCUCGGGCGUGCGUAUCAUGCGGUGCACAGCGAUCAUCCGAAAUUUAGGCCUGUCAUCUGGCAUGUUGUGUUGACCUCCCAAACUUCAAACUAAGAUAUGUGAACACACUCUGUGAAUGAGACGGGCGGGGGUGACUGAUGGGGGUAGCCAAAGCCGAGGGUUGAUUCUAGCUAGCAUGUGCCCGACAUGUGUGAUGUUUCUAAGUUUCUUGCACACCAUUAACGACCAUUUUCCUUGUUACCUCAUUUAUCUCUCCGUGCACUGUAUCCUUUCCCCUUCCAAUUUUCGGAAAAAAUGAUCCAAAUAUCUAAUAACCUAAAAGUUUUCUAAAGAUCCGUUGGAAGUCAACCUUGAAUUUCCUUGAACGUUGACAAAAAUUUGUUGGACUACUUAUAUGUUAGUUGAAAGUUCGAAAACAUUGUUUGAAAGCUUUAUUAUUACUAGCAUAUUGAUCAAAUUAA
rnacentral:lncRNA from 1 species